UGCAAACACCCUGAGAGAAGGUGAGACCAGCACCAAGAGAGAAGAGACAGCAGACACUGCUCCUAAUAAUGGACCAGGAGACCAGCACUCAGAGCCUGAUAGCUCAGGGAAGAGACCCUUCCUAGUUGCUGCAGUCUGUCUGGGGCUGAUAUGUGUUCUCCUACUGGCUGGGAUCAUAGGCCUGUCUGUCUACUAUGACAGAGCCAUCAAAGAUUCUGAAGAUAAAAGGAGCAACUUGUCAAAGAGUUUUUCUGUUUAUAAGACCAACACAACUGCAGAGCGAGACCUGCUACAGACCAGCUAUAACAACCUGACUAAAGAGAGAGACCAGUUACAGACCAGUUACAACAACCUGACUAAAGAGAGAGACCA